AUUGAACGCUGGCGGCAUGCUUUACACAUGCAAGUCGAACGGUAACAGGGUGCUUGCACCGCUGACGAGUGGCGAACGGGUGAGUAAUGCGUCGGAACGUGCCGAGUAGUGGGGGAUAACGCAGCGAAAGUUGUGCUAAUACCGCAUACGUACUGAGGUAGAAAGUGGGGGACCUUCGGGCCUCACGCUAUUCGAGCGGCCGACGUCUGAUUAGCUAGUAGGUGAGGUAAAGGCUCACCUAGGCGACGAUCAGUAGCGGGUCUGAGAGGAUGAUCCGCCACACUGGGACUGGGACGCGGCCCAGACUCCUGCGGGAGGCAGCAGUGGGGAAUUUUGGACAAUGGGCGAAAGCCUGAUCCAGCCAUGCCGCGUGUCUGAAGAAGGCCUUCGGGUUGUAAAGGACUUUUGUCGGGGAGGAAAUCCCCAGCGUUAAUACUGCUGGGGGAUGACAGUACCUGAAGAAUAAGCACCGGCUAACUACGUGCCAGCCGCCGCGGUAA
rnacentral:rRNA from 1 species